GUCAAAGCGUUCAUUAAAGUCGAGUUGGCUUAGGGAUACGUUCGUUGGGUAGGGGAGCGUUCUGUAAGCCUGUGAAGGUGUGUCGUGAGGCAUGCUGGAGGUAUCAGAAGUGCGAAUGCUGACAUAAGUAACGAUAAAGCGGGUGAAAAGCCCGCUCGCCGGAAGACCAAGGGUUCCUGUCCAACGUUAAUCGGGGCAGGGUGAGUCGACCCCUAAGGCGAGGCCGAAAGGCGUAGUCGAUGGGAAACGGGUUAAUAUUCCCGUACUUGGUGUUACUGCGAAGGGGGGACGGAGAAGGCUAUGUUGGCCGGGCGACGGUUGUCCCGGUUUAAGCGUGUAGGUGUGUGUUCCAGGUAAAUCCGGUUC
rnacentral:rRNA from 1 species